GCUUGAUCGGUUGGAGCAACUUGAUGU
rnacentral:piRNA from 1 species